rnacentral:rRNA from 1 species
GACGAACGCUGGCGGCGUGCUUAACACAUGCAAGUCGAACGAUGAAGCCAGCUUGCUGGUGGAUUAGUGGCGAACGGGUGAGUAACACGUGGGUGAUCUGCCCCAAACUUUGGGAUAAGCCUGGGAAACUGGGUCUAAUACCGAAUAUGACCGAUACUCGCAUGGGUGUUGGUGGAAAGCUCCGGCGGUUUGGGAUGGGCCCGCGGCCUAUCAGCUUGUUGGUGGGGUAAUGGCCUACCAAGGCGACGACGGGUAGCCGGCCUGAGAGGGCGACCGGCCACACUGGGACUGAGACACGGCCCAGACUCCUACGGGAGGCAGCAGUGGGGAAUAUUGCACAAUGGGCGCAAGCCUGAUGCAGCGACGCCGCGUGAGGGAUGACGGCCUUCGGGUUGUAAACCUCUUUCACCAGGGACGAAGCGAAAGUGACGGGACCUGGAGAAGAAGCACCGGCCAACUACG